AUUGAACGCUGGCGGCAUGCCUAACACAUGCAAGUCGAACGGGGCAGCAAUGCCUAGUGGCGGACGGGUGAGGAAUACGUAGGAAUCUGCCCUUAAGUGGGGGAUAACCAGGGGAAACCCUGACUAAUACCGCAUACGACCUGAGGGUGAAAGGGGGGGAUCGCAAGACCUCUCGCUAUCAGAGCGGCCGAUGUCGGAUUAGCUAGUUGGUGGGGUAAAGGCCCACCAAGGCGACGAUCCGUAGCUGGUCUGAGAGGACGACCAGCCACACUGGGACUGAGACACGGCCCAGACUCCUACGGGAGGCAGCAGUGGGGAAUUUUGGACAAUGGACGCAAGUCUGAUCCAGCCAUGCCGCGUGCGGGAAGAAGGCCUUCGGGUUGUAAACCGCUUUUGUCAGGGAAGAAAUCUUCUGGACUAAUACUCUGGGAGGAUGACGGUACCUGAAGAAUAAGCACCGGCUAACUACGUGCCAGCAGCCGCCGUAAAAC
rnacentral:rRNA from 1 species